rnacentral:rRNA from 1 species
CCUACGGGAGGCAGCAGUUAGGAAUCUUGCACAAUGGGGGAAACCCUGAUGCAGCGACGCCGCGUGAAGGAUGAAGGUUCUCGGAUCGUAAACUUCUUUUAAGAGGGAAGAAAUUUGACGGUACCUCUUGAAUAAGCCCCGGCCAACUACGUGCCAGCAGCCGCGGUAAUACGUAGGGGGCGAGCCGUUGUCCGAAGUUACUGGGCGUAAAGCGCGCGUAGGCGGKUUCUUAAGUCUGSGGUGAAAGGUUCAACGCUCAACGUGAACAGUGCCUUGGAUACUGGGAGACUUGAGUUAGGGAGAGGGUCGUAGAAUUCCUGGUGUAGCGGUGAAAUGCGUAGAUAUCAGGAGGAAUACCAAUGGCRAAGGCAGCUACCUGGCCUAUAACUGACGCUGAGGUGCGAAAGCGUGGGGAGCAAACGGGAUUAGAUACCCCGGUAGUCCACGCCCUAAACGAUGAGUGCUAGAUGUAAGAGGUAUCGACCCCUCUUGUGUCGUCGCUAACGCAUUAAGCACUCCGCCUGGGGAGUACGGCCGCAAGGUUGAAACUCAAAGGAAUUGACGG